rnacentral:rRNA from 1 species
GUAAGGAAUAUUGGUCAAUGGAGGCAACUCUGAACCAGCCAUGCCGCGUGCAGGAAGACAGCCCUCUGGGUCGUAAACUGCUUUUAUUCGGGAAUAAACCUACUUACGUGUAAGUAGCUGAAUGUACCGAAGGAAUAAGGAUCGGCUAACUCCGUGCCAGCAGCCGCGGUAAUACGGAGGAUCCAAGCGUUAUCCGGAUUUAUUGGGUUUAAAGGGUGCGUAGGCGGCUUUUUAAGUCAGGGGUGAAAGACGGUGGCUCAACCAUCGCAGUGCCCUUGAUACUGAAGAGCUUGAAUACAUUAGAGGUAGGCGGAAUGUGACAAGUAGCGGUGAAAUGCAUAGAUAUGUCACAGAACACCGAUUGCGAAGGCAGCUUACUAUGAUGAGAUUGACGCUGAGGCACGAAAGCGUGGGGAUCAAACAGG